UACGUAGGGGGCGAGCGUUGUCCGGAGUUACUGGGCGUAAAGCGUGCGCAGGCGGUGAUGUAAGACAGAUGUGAAAUCCCCGGGCUCAACCUGGGAACUGCAUUUGUGACUGCAUCGCUGGAGUGCGGCAGAGGGGGAUGGAAUUCCGCGUGUAGCAGUGAAAUGCGUAGAUAUGCGGAGGAACACCGAUGGCGAAGGCAAUCCCCUGGGCCUGCACUGACGCUCAUGCACGAAAGCGUGGGGAGCAAACAGG
rnacentral:rRNA from 1 species